rnacentral:lncRNA from 1 species
CCUCUCAACGUGCGCUCCUCUUAACGUGCGUCUGCACAGCUGCUUGUGUGGCACAGCUGCUUGUGUGUUCUUCCGCCAAUGUGUGCAACUGCUUGUGUGUUCUUCCGCCAAUGUGUUCCUCUCGACGUCCAGCCACUUCUGUGCCUGCCUGCCUGUCUUGGGGUUUUUACAGGCACAGGAUAGGGGACGUGGCAGGCCAGGUGGUCUUGGAAAAUGCAAACUUGGGCAUGAAAACAGGAGCGCUUGUCCUCCCCUAUAUGCGUGUGCACAGGACCUGAGGUGAAGCCCUAGCCAGGGACCUGCCCUUCUCUACCCAGCGCUUUCCUUCUCUCAUCCCGAGUCAGUACUGCACAGAACGAGAACUUGGGACCUACAAAAUGGCACCACUGAAAGAUCCGUAACACAACCAGAGCUGAAAUGCCUCUUGCUCACCACAUUGUGAGUGACAAGAAAGAGAGAAGAGAGGAGAAAAGAGCUGUGGCCCAGAUCUAGGAGACACGUCUGUGACACCCUCUUUGGAGCGCUGUAGUUUCUGGCAUCUUCAAGCUUCCAGGUGUUCCACCGCAUUCCCUGGUGCCCUCUGUGGAAGCUGCUUGCAGUGCACCUGUUUCAGCUACAGGCUCAGAGGGCACCAGUGCCCUUGCUGGUGCCUGGAGCUGCCUGCCCUGCUGCAGCCAGCAUGCAAGGCUGUGCACAGUGGCUGAACCCUGUGCUUGCUCGCUCACACACCCCUCACUGCUCUGUUCCUGCUUACCCUUGGCAGGCAUGGAAUCCAGUUCAGCAGUGCGAGCCAAGCACAACCUACCAGGUCAAGUGUACAGAAUGAGUCCAGCAGGCCUGAGCAAAACUCAGGCAAAGGCACCAUGGGCCACAGAGGUUUCUGGCUGGAAAGGCAACACCCCAAGCAUCCUGCGACAAUACUACCCAAAUCAAUUUAUAGAUUAAAUGCUAUUCCUAUCAAACUACCAAUAACAUUCUUCAAAUAACUAGAAAAAAAGUAUUUUACAAUUCACAUGAAACUAAAAAUGAGACCAAAUAGACAAGGCGAUACUAAGCAAAAAGAACAAAACUGGAGGUAUUGUAUUACCUGACUUCAAACUACUAUACGGCUAGAGUAACCGAAACAGCAUGUACCGAUAGAAAAACAGACACACAGACCAAUGAAACAGAAAAGAGAGCCCAGUAAUAAUGCUGCACAUCUAUAGCCAUCUGAUCUUCAACAAAACUGACAAAAAUAAGCAAUGGAGAAUGGACUCACUAUUCAAUAAAUAGUUCUGGUAUAACUCACUAGCCAUAUGCAGAAGAUUGAGACUGAACUCCUUCCUUACACCAUAUACAAAAUCAACUCAAUAUGGGUUAAAGACUUAAAUAUGAAACCUAAAACUAUUAAAACCCUGGAAGAUAACCUAGGAAAUACCAUUUUGGACAUAGAAAUUGACAAAGAUUUAAUGAUGAAGACACCAAAAGCAAUUUCAACAAAAGCAAAAAUUGACAUGUGAGACCUAAUUAAACUAAAGAGCUUCUGGACAGCGAAAGAUACUGCCAACGGGGUAAACCGACAAUCUACAGAAUGGGAAAAAUAUUUGCAAACUAUGCAUUCAACAAAGGUCUAAUAUCCAAAAUCUAUCAGGAACUUAAAU